AUUGAACGCUGGCGGCAUGCUUUACACAUGCAAGUCGAACGGUAACAGGCCUUCGGGUGCUGACGAGUGGCGAACGGGUGAGUAAUGCAUCGGAACGUGCCCAGAGGUGGGGGAUAACGCAGCGAAAGCUGUGCUAAUACCGCAUGUGAUCUGAGGAUGAAAGCGGGGGACCAGGCAGCAAUGUUUGGCCUCGCGCCUUUGGAGCGGCCGAUGUCAGAUUAGGUAGUUGGUGGGGUAAAGGCCUACCAAGCCGACGAUCUGUAGCUGGUCUGAGAGGACGACCAGCCACACUGGGACUGAGACACGGCCCAGACUCCUACGGGAGGCAGCAGUGGGGAAUCUUGGACAAUGGGCGCAAGCCUGAUCCAGCAAUGCCGCGUGCGGGAAGAAGGCCUUCGGGUUGUAAACCGCUUUUGUACGGAACGAAAAGGCUCUGGCUAAUACCUGGGGCUGAUGACGGUACCGUAAGAAUAAGCACCGGCUAACUACGUG
rnacentral:rRNA from 1 species